AGCUAGGCCAAGGACAUCAAACAGGUCACAGCAGAUACAAAUCUAAAUUUAUCUGGCAAAUGCGGCCACGGAAGAUAGGAAGACAACUACCACUCUGGCCAGUGCGAGACCAGCUUGGUCACAGGUGCAAAAGCCAGACUGCAGGAGCCUGAGGAGGGGACCUGCAUUGCAGGCAGAUUCUUUGCCAGCUGAGCUACCAGGGAAGCCCUGAGCAGGGGGCAGGGCUGAGGAAAUGGAGGUAGCAAAUUCACCCUGCUCUUCCAAGAAGUUGGUCCCUGGCAGGAGACAUGAGUGGAGAAGUAACCCAAAGGGAAGGCGAUCCUGAAGGCCGCUGGGUUUUGUGUUUGGUUUUCGGUUGGUCCUGGAAAAUCCCAUGGAUGGAGGAGCCUGGUGGGUGGCAGCUACAGAGACCGAGCAGUGAGAACGAGCCCCAGAAGAGAAAGCUGCCAGGAGACGAGAGUGGCCUGGAUGGCAGGGAGCAGCCGCGGUCAGUGGAAGGUGACUUCCCAGGCGCCAGAUCAUGACAGCCACGUGCCGCCGCACCGUGCCUCUGUGGCAGUUACCAAACAACACGGGGAACAUAAACAAAAAGCUGAUGACGCAGAGCAGACCUCAUGAGAAGUCCACUUCAGGACAGUCAGGCCGGGUAAAUCAGCAGUAAUCCCAUCAGUCUCCUUAGGCCUCAACCACACAGGCUGUCACGAAGACAGAGGCUUCCACAGGGUAUGACGGCCUUCCUGGUUACAACGUGUGGAAAGCUCACACUUCAGUCUACAGUCAAACUUGGUUUGUGUGCGUAACCAAAACAUCGUUAUUUCAACCCUAUUAAUAGUGCGCUGACAACCUGUGUGUGUGGCCUGAGUGGGCCUGUGCUUUCCGGCCUCUAAAUGGGCACCUGGAUCGCAGUGAGGGUCCAGCAUGUCCCUCCUUCCAGAGUCGUGCUGGGGAGCACGGGUGGGAAGACAGUCCUGUCACAGUCGCUUCUCCUAGACACAGCUCUAGUUCCUGCUCUGGCCGGGAAAUUGCUUGAGAGAGCAAAAACGGGCCAGGAGCUGAGCACAACUGUACAAGUCCAAACACAGGCUAGGGGAGGUAUUUCAAGUGAAUGACUGUUGUGUUUUGCUUAAGCUCAGAGCAAAGUGGCAGGAGAGGAAGAUGCAAGCUCAAAGAGUACCUUUCCUUAUAAAGUCCUUUUGCAGUGACAAAAGUCAUUCUAACAAUUAGUAUCAAGCAUAUCUUGUAUUUCCAAGGCAUACACUUCCCAAAGAGCUCAAAACAAACAAACAAACAAAAAAAAAAAAACCUUUAAUUCGGCAUCCUGUUCAGAAAGAAGGGAAAUUAACAGUAAAAUCUGAUCAGUUCAAUCAACUGGGGAGUUUGCUAUGAAUAGUGAGAUGUCUGAACCCUAGGACAGUGA
ensembl:lncRNA